CUUGACCGAGCCCAGCAGCAGCGGCCGGUCGGCCGGCCGCCGCUGCCCGUACGUCGCGUGCAGCGCGUCGGCCUC
rnacentral:antisense_RNA from 1 species